rnacentral:rRNA from 1 species
CCUACGGGAGGCUGCAGUGGGGAAUAUUGGACAAUGGGCGAAAGCCUGAUCCAGCCAUGCCGCGUGUGUGAAGAAGGCCUUCGGGUUGUAAAGCACUUUCAGUGGGGAAGAAAGCCUUGGGGCUAAUACCCUCGAGGAAGGACAUCACCCACAGAAGAAGCACCGGCUAACUCCGUGCCAGCAGCCGCGGUAAUACGGAGGGUGCGAGCGUUAAUCGGAAUUACUGGGCGUAAAGCGCGCGUAGGCGGUCUGAUAAGCCGGUUGUGAAAGCCCCGGGCUCAACCUGGGAACGGCAUCCGGAACUGUCAGGCUAGAGUGCAGGAGAGGAAGGUAGAAUUCCCGGUGUAGCGGUGAAAUGCGUAGAGAUCGGGAGGAAUACCAGUGGCGAAGGCGGCCUUCUGGACUGAAACUGACGCUGAGGUGCGAAAGCGUGGGUAGCAAACAGGAUUAGAUACCCCAGUAGUC